rnacentral:rRNA from 1 species
CUAUGACUCAAUACAAAACACCAUCCGCCCGGGAACUACGAGCCCUAGCUUAAAACCCAAAGGACUUGGCGGUGCCCCACCCACCUAGAGGAGCCUGUUCUAUAAUCGAUAACCCCCGCUUAACCUCACCACUUCUUGCCAAUACCGCCUAUAUACCACCGUCGCCAGCCCACCCCGUGAGGGAACAGUAGGCACAAUGAUCAAUCACCAAAACGUCAGGUCAAGGUGUAGCGUAUGAAGUGGGAAGAAAUGGGCUACAUUCUCUAACCUAGAGCACACGAAAAAUCAUAUGAAAUUAGAUUAGAAGGAGGAUUUAGUAGUAAAAAGAAACAAUAGUGUUCUUUUUAAGCUGGCCCUGGGGCGCGCA